AAACAAUCUUACAAGUUACAAGAACUCUCAGAUCGACUCUUGCACCUAAAGUAUUUCAAGUCGAUUACCAUUACAGAAAUGUCAUCCAGACUACCCCUACUCAGAGCUAGAUCUACAAGUUCCUUACAAGCAGCCACAAGUCUACUGGAGGACUUUCAAUUUCGCAAGCAUAGUCAAAUUCACCUUCUUCACAGCUUUCCGUUGGCUUCUCACAGAUUGAAGAUUGGCCCACCCCCACUUUUGGUUGCGUGACUAAUGAAACUUUCCGUACUUUUGAUGGACUUGGAUUUACAGAGCAACAGGUAUGUUUAAUGCUUCUCAAGGAACCUUUUGAUAGCCCAAAACUUUGAUCCAUCAACCUCGAUUGCGUCACAACAUCAAUAGUCUCUUGGUUUUCCACCUAUGAAAUUUUGCAACUUCAAAGUUAACAUCAAUUGCGAAAACAACACAAUCAUCUAUACUCUGAUUAAUUUGAUAUUCACAAAUUAAUUUUCUCCUUAAGCAGUUUAACAUUACUGAAAAACUCCCCAGGUAGAUAUGAAGUGAUUGAACAACUUAACAGA